AUUGAACGCUGGCGGCAGGCCUAACACAUGCAAGUCGAACGAGUGGCGGACGGGUGAGUAAUGUCUGGGAAACUGCCUGAUGGAGGGGGAUACCUACUGGAAACGGUAGCUAAUACCGCAUACCAUCAGAUGUGCCCAGAUGGGAUUAGCUUGGUGGUGGGGUAACGGCUCACCAAGGCGACGAUCCCUAGCUGGGCUGAGAGGAGGACCAGCCACACGGGAACGGAGAAACGGGCCAUGCUCCUACGGUAGGGAGCAGGGGGGACUAUUGCACAAUGGGCGAAAGCCUUAUGCCGCCAUGCCGCGUGUAGGAAGAAGGCCUUCGGGUUGUAAAGGAAUUUCAGCGGGGAGGCGUUACCCGCAGAAGAAGAACCGGCUAACUCCGGGCCAGGAGCCGCGGUUAAUC
rnacentral:rRNA from 1 species